UACGUAGGGAGCAAGCGUUGUCCGGAAUCAUUGGGCGUAAAGCGCGCGCAGGUGGCUUCGUAAGUCCGUUGUGAAAGUCAAAGGCUCAACCUUUGAAAGCCGAUGGAUACUGCGGAGCUAGAGUACGGAAGAGGCGAGUGGAAUUCCUGGUGUAGCGGUGGAAUGCGCAGAUAUCAGGAGGAACACCAAUAGCGAAGGCAGCUCGCUGGGACGUUACUGACGCUGAGGUGCGAAAGCGUGGGGAGCAAACAGG
rnacentral:rRNA from 1 species